GAUCAAGCGAAUAUAGGUUUAUGGUGGAUGCCUAGGAGCUGUGAGGCGAAGAAGGUCGUGAUAAGCUGCGAAAAGCCAGGGGGAGGAGCAAAUAUCUAUUGAUCCCUGGAUAACCGAAUGGAGUAAUCCAACAGGAGAGAUU
rnacentral:rRNA from 1 species